rnacentral:lncRNA from 1 species
CUAGAACACAACUGCCAUUUUUAAAGUUUUGAGCAUACCCAGAAAUUUUUUUAUUUUCAUUGGGGGAAUAGGUCAUUCAUUUUUAUUUCGAUGGUUUGCUUUUGGAGAGGCUGAGAGUUCUUACUGCCCAUGAUUAUUGUCAGACUGAUCCCCAGGGCUUGGCUUAUCCUCAGUUCUUGACUGAAGAUCAUGGACCUUGCCUGUCUUCCCCACUGUCUGCAGCUCCCACGCUCUUUUUGUUUUUCUUGCUUGGUUGUGCCUUCUUCUGAUAAGUGGAUGAACACUGUGUCAACUUGUAGACCAGACUUCCAUAUCUUCUUUCACAAAUUCGUCAGUCUGAGUAUAUCCCACAUCUAAUGCAAGUCACAGAUGGGCAUCACUCUUUAAAAGGUGCUCUAGUUGUGGCAUUCUAGGAAGGAGAUUGUUAGACAUUCUUUUCCUGGACACAAUCAAUCUAAUUGCCAUCCAACAUGGACCUAGCAGCAAUGCAAACACAUAAAGCUUUCAGAUGAGUCUCCCCAAAGAGACAUGUCAAUGCACAGGAUACAAGGGUGCAGCAUUUAUCUUUUUCCAGCACCAAUAUAAGAGGAGAAAAAAACAAAGGCUGUGAGAGGGAGAAGCUGAAUUGCCUCUGGACUCUGUAGUCUGCCUCGGACGCCUCGUUUCCACCCCUUAUCUCCAGCAUAUCACACUCUGUGGAGCAAUUUCUUUCCUCCCUUACUUAGAUUAUUGUCUACAGGUAGACAGAGAAAAGAGGAUAGAGAUUGGUAAAUGCAUUGACACAUAAGUUUCAGGUGCAUCCACUCCAGAGUGAGGAAUAUAACUUUCCAGAGUCUCCCAUUUAGGUCUCAGGCACACCCAUCUUCCCCACCCUGGCCUCCUGCCACUUUAUUCCUCGCCCUUCUCCUAUGAAUGCCCACUUUUCUGAUCUACCUCACCUCACUCCCCUUUCUGUGCUAUAGAUUUUGACACUGCUUUCCCAGAGCCAUAAAGGAUUGGGAUUAAGGGUUUUCCGAAAACAGGACAGGAGUAGAAGGGCAAGUUCUAGUUUAGCACUUGUGUGUACCACCCUCUUGUGACAGGUUCUGGCUCCACAUAUCCUUGAAGGAAUACAUUCUUUCUUCAGUCUCUGCCAGAUAACCUGUAAUUUUCUUCUUCCUUUUUCUUGGGUUGCACUGCCCCCUACAGACAGACAAACAAACCAAUAUCUAUCAGUAGGGUGGGUGAACACAGUGCUGGGUGAUAGGCCACAGUUCCUUUUACUGAUUCUGGACUCUGUCAAACAUUUCUCACCUCUCACUCUCGGUUCCGCAACACCAACUCUCCCCCGAUCCUAUGCACCAUUUAGAGAACUAAAAUAAGCUGGUGGGUGGGGCGAGAGUGUAGGGGAAGAUGACUCUGUCCCAAUCUUGACCCUAAGACUUCCCAGGCAAUCCUCAUUCUCACACCACCCUGCACAUAACCAGAGCAGUUUCUUCUUUCUUCACUCAUCUACAAACGUGCCUCUCUGAGGUCAACAGCAGAGAGCUGAUGGCUGGAUCAAAAAGAUUUGACUUUCCCACAGAUCUUGGUCACCUGAGAUAUAUGUCACUAAUGAGCCAUGGUUGCCACCAGUAGUGAUGCAAGAGUGUGCCUGCCUCUCUCUCUUCCCCCCAGCACACCAGACCUGUUACUCAUUUUUUUUUCUUCACCAAUCCUGGAAUCCAAAAGAAAGUGCAUUACCAUUUUGUUGGAAUUUGUUUUUCUCUGAUUUCCAGAGACAAAACUUAUUCUGAUACUUUCUUAUCUUCUCCUGGAGCAACUGUUUCUUUGUAUUUAUACUUCUUUAUCUUCAUCCUAGAAUACUGGGCAACAGCACGUCUUUUUACUUCCCCUCCCCUCAGCAACUAAUAUCCAUCAUCUUGCUUAGACCCAUGAAAAAAGCAGAUUUCAUAAAACAAGGCAUGGAGAGAUAAAUAUGUUUAAUUACAUUUUUCUUGCCUCUGCUCACUUUUCUUGGAAAUAAUGACUUUUUAAAAAGAUUUUUUAUGCCU